GGCGACCAUAGCGAAAGGGAGACACCUGGACUCAUCCCGAACCCAGAAGUUAAGCCUUUCUGCGUCGUGGUUUGUACUGCUAGUAGCGGGAAUACCACAACGUCGCC
rnacentral:rRNA from 1 species